CAGAGUAGGGCCUGCUUCGUUAAGUGCCGCCAAAAUGGGGAGUUGUUUGGCGGACGAAGGCGCAAGCCGCGGUUGAAGGCCCGCACCCGCUG
rnacentral:ncRNA from 1 species